rnacentral:rRNA from 1 species
AGCCUGAUGCAGCGACGCCGCGUGAGGGAUGACGGCCUUGGGGUUGUAAACCUCUUUCAGCAGGGAAGAAGCGAAAGUGACGGUACCUGCAGAAGAAGCGCCGGCUAACUACGUGCCAGCAGCCGCGGUAAUACGUAGGGCGCAAGCGUUGUCCGGAAUUAUUGGGCGUAAAGAGCAAGUAGGCGGCUUGUCACGUCGGUUGUGAAAGCCCGGGGCUUAACCCCGGGUCUGCAGUCGAUACGGGCAGGCUAGAGUUCGGUAGGGGAGAUCGGAAUUCCUGGUGUAGCGGUGACAUGCGCAGAUAUCAGGAGGAACACCGGUGGCGAAGGCGGAUCUCUGUGCCGAUACUGACGCUGAGGAGCGAAAAUGUGGGGAGCGAACAGGAUUAGAUACCCUGGUAGUCCACGCCGUAACGGUGGGCACUAGGUGUGGGCAACAUUCCACGUUGUCCGUGCCGCAGCUAACGCAUUAAGUGCCCCGCCUGGGGAGUACGGCCGCAAGGCUAAAACUCAAAGGAAUUGACGGGG